GUGCAGCAGUCGAGAAACCUCCGCAAUGCGGGAAACCGCGACGGGGGACCCCGAGUGCCGUGGCAAUGCUACGGCUUUUCCGGAGUGUAAAAAGCUCCGGGAAUAAGGGCUGGGCAAGGCCGGUGGCAGCCGCCGCGGUAAUACCGGCGGCCCGAGUGGUGGCCGCUAUUAUUGGGCCUAAAAGCGUCCGUAGCCGGGCCCGUAAGUCCCUGGCGAAAUCCCACGGCUCAACCGUGGGGCUUGCUGGGGAUACUGCGGGUCUUGGGACCGGGAGAGGCGAGGGGUACCCCUGGGGUAGGGGUGAAAUCCUAUAAUCCCAGGGGGACCGCCAGUGGCGAAGGCGCCCCGCUGGAACGGGUCCGACGGUGAGGGACGAAGGCCAGGGGAGCAAAACC
rnacentral:rRNA from 1 species